rnacentral:rRNA from 1 species
GGCUCUUGGGUCGUAAACCUCUUUUCUCAGGGAAGAACACAAUGACGGUACCUGAGGAAUAAGCAUCGGCUAACUCCGUGCCAGCAGCCGCGGUAAUACGGAGGAUGCAAGCGUUAUCCGGAAUGAUUGGGCGUAAAGCGUCCGCAGGUGGCUGUGUAAGUCUGCUGUUAAAGAGUGAGGCUCAACCUCAUAAGAGCAGUGGAAACUACACGGCUAGAGUACGUUCGGGGCAGAGGGAAUUCCUGGUGUAGCGGUGAAAUGCGUAGAGAUCAGGAAGAACACCAGUGGCGAAGGCGCUCUGCUAGGCCGUAACUGACACUGAGGGACGAAAGCUAGGGGAGCGAAUGGGAUUAGAUACCCCAGUAGUCCUAGCCGUAAACGAUGGAUACUAGGCGUGGCUUGUAUCGACCCGAGCCGUGCCGUAGCUAACGCGUUAAGUAUCCCGCCUGGGGAGUACGCCGGCAACGGUGAAACUCAAAGGAAUUGACGGGGGCCCGCACAAGCGGUGGAGUAUGUGGUUUAAUUCGAUGCAACGCGAAGAACCUUACCAAGGCUUGACAUGUCGCGAAUCUCGGUGAAAGCUGAGAGUGCCUUCGGGAGCGCGAACACAGGUGGUGCAUGGCUGUCGUCAGCUCGUGUCGUGAGAUGUUGGGUUAAGUCCCGCAACGAGCGCAACCCUCGUUUUUAGUUGCCAGCAUUAAGUUGGGCACUCUAGAGAGACUGCCGGUGACAAACCGGAGGAAGGUGGGGAUGACGUCAAGUCAGCAUGCCCCUUACGCCUUGGGCUACACACGUACUACAAUGCUCCGGACAGAGGGCAGCAAGCAUGCGAAUGCAAGCAAAUCCCGGAAACCGGAGCUCAGUUCAGAUCGCAGGCUGCAACUCGCCUGCGUGAAGGAGGAAUCGCUAGUAAU